rnacentral:rRNA from 1 species
GGUAGUCUCGCACAGAUGCAUAUCAAUAAGCGGAGGAAAAGAAACUAACAAGGAUUCCCCUAGUAACGGCGAGUGAAGCGGGAAGAGCUCAAAUUUGAAAUCUUAAAGGGUUUCCCUUUACGAAUUGUAGUUUAAAGAAGUGUUUUCUGUUGAGGUUUUGGUAAAAGUUCUUUGGAAUAGGACAUCAUAGAGGGUGAGAAUCCCGUAUUUGACCUUUACUUUCAACUUUGUGAUACACUUUCAAAGAGUCGGAUUGUUUGGGAAUGCAGGUCCAAAAUGGGUGGUAAAUUUCAUCUAAAGCUAAAUAUUGGCGAGAGGACCGAUAGCGAACAAGUACCGUGAGGGAAAGAUGAAAAGAACUUUGAAAAGAGAGUUAAACAGUACGUGAAAUUGUCAAAAGGGAAGCGUUUGACACCAGUGUUGUUUUUCUGAAAAUCAAUUAAAGAACUGUUUAUGCUAAGCUGUUUAGACUUUAUCAGCUAUCUGUUUAGUUUUGAGCUUUUCUUUAAUGCACUUUUCAGUUAACAAGUCAACAUCAAUUUCUUUUGCUGUAAAAAAGCUUGAGGAAGGUGGCUUGAGAUUCGUCUUAAGUGUUUAUAGCCUCUUGCCUAUGCAGUCGGAGAGAUUGAGGUCUGCAGCGUAGAUCCUUCGGGGCUAAAUGCAUUUGUGCUAAGUUAUAGCAUUUUAUAGACAACUUGUUGACUAUGAUUUGUCUUGUAGCUUACUCGCUUAUGUUAUUUUACCUACGCUUAGGAUGUUGAAGACUCUACAGAGAUA